CAUAUCAAUAAGCGGAGGAAAAGAAACCAACAGGGAUUGCCCCAGUAACGGCGAGUGAAGCGGCAACAGCUCAAAUUUGAAAUCUGGCCCCCGGGUCCGAGUUGUAAUUUGCAGAGGAUGCUUUGGGCGAGGUUCCUUCCGAGUUCCCUGGAACGGGACGCCACAGAGGGUGAGAGCCCCGUCUGGUCGGACACCGAGCCCGUGUAAAGCUCCUUCGACGAGUCGAGUAGUUUGGGAAUGCUGCUCAAAAUGGGAGGUAUAUGUCUUCUAAAGCUAAAUAUUGGCCAGAGACCGAUAGCGCACAAGUAGAGUGAUCGAAAGAUGAAAAGCACUUUGAAAAGAGGGUUAAAAAGUACGUGAAAUUGUUGAAAGGGAAGCGCCUAUGACCAGACUUGCGCCCGGUGAAUCAUCCAGCGUUCUCGCUGGUGCACUUUGCCGGGCACAGGCCAGCAUCAGUUUGGCGCGGGGGAUAAAGGCUUCGGGAAUGUGGCUCCCUCGGGAGUGUUAUAGCCCGCUGCGCAAUACCCUGCACCGGACUGAGGUACGCGCAUCGCAAGGAUGCUGGCGUAAUGGUCAUCAGCGACCCGUCUUGAAACACGGACCAAGGAGUCGUCUUCGUAUGCGAGUGUUCGGGUGUUAAACCCCUACGCGGAAUGAAAGUGAACGUAGGUGAGAGCUUCGGCGCAUCAUCGACCGAUCCUGAUGUUCUCGGAUGGAUUUGAGUAAGAGCAUACGGGGCCGGACCCGAAAGAAGGUGAACUAUGCCUGUAUAGGGUGAAGCCAGAGGAAACUCUGGUGGAGGCUCGCAGCGGUUCUGACGUGCGAAUCGAUCGUCAAAUAUGGGCAUGGGGGCGAAAGACUAAUCGAACCUUCUAGUAGCUGGUUC
rnacentral:rRNA from 2 species